CAUUGGUAUGUUUACAUUCGUACAUAUGUUUACAUUUGUGUUUACUGAGCUAUUGGUGCAAAUAGAACAUUUAUUCACCACAAUUUAUUGUGGCUGUAUCAUUGCUAGACCGUGGUGAAUCAUACAAAGCACUGGUUCGACUCGCUGCUUAUCGAAAAGACGUACAAAGGUCCACAAGAAUUGGCAAUAAUUUUAUCUGGUACGCCGCAUUACCAAGGAAAGCGCCAAUGAAGCAUGAGCGUGGUCUCAAGAAAAUGAAAUGGCUGAUUUGCCUCAUCGCAAUAAAGCAACCAAUAUGGGCCGGUCACUGUUACAAAAACUAAUUUAUGAUUAUGAGUUAGAAAAUUCUACUAGCGUACGUAAAUAUAUAGCAAACAAGCUGCUAAGUCUCAACGCUUUUAUACCGCAAUGGCUAUAUAAUGACUACAACUUAUGAAAUUUGCUAUAAAAACGUUCGACAUAAUUUAUUAAAAACAUGCAUACCAACAGUUGGAGAAUCGUUCAGAGCUAUUCUAGUUGUUCGUCAAACAUAAUCCCUUAAUUGAAGCUGCCGAGUUGCCACAUGCACCGUUGGAAGCUAGAAGCGAAUAUUUCAGUUUUAAACAUACAAUUGCGAUUAUAAACCAAGAAAUUUUGUCUGCCAAGAAAUACAUUAGAUAUUUUGAUGCAUGGAGUGAAAUUGAAUGGUAAUUUAGAUAUCGAGUAUGAGCAGGAGCUCACAGAUUUAGAGGACGUCAUACAGACCUAUAUCGAUACCACACAGCGCACAGCAAGGAAAAAAUCAAAAUGGAUUAAAUAAAAUUAACAUAAAUUUAAAUUAAAUUAAGUAAUUUAUUUUUCAAUCAAUUUUUCAAAGUUCAAGAACUUAUGUUCUAAAUACAGGCUAUAAACAUCAUUAUAAAAAAUGAAUUCACAAGAUUGUUACCAACUUGUUAUCCAGAAUUUUUAAGUGUACAGUUUUAGAUGUAAAUCAUAGCGAUCGAUUUUCCAUAAAAAACAUGAAGCAAACAUUUUUAUGUAAUAUGGUAUGCGUAUCUCAAGGUGGAUUUCUGAUAGCCAUUAAUAUCCUAUGAGGAUAUAGAAUUACACAUGUAAAAAUUGCAAAUUAAAAAUGUGAUACAAAUACAAUUGAGCUCAAUAUUACAUACAUUACU